UUGUUUGGAGAUGGAGACACAGGACUUCACACAAAUUUAUUGCUUUUAGCCUCCAUUUUUUCUUUGAAAAGGAAAGCUAGGAGGCGGCCAUGAAAACUCUUGAAGAAAUGGUCAUGGAAGAGUCUCGAUUAUGAAAACAUGAAACAAACUUGAAUGAGAAUGUUAAAGCUAAUGGCCACUAUUAUAGCAAAAUGUCGAUAUUUUCACGUUCAUAGGAAGCUACUUUGCGAUACUUGGACUUCACUUCCUGAGAUCAUUCCUUAUGUCAUCUAUUUUAUCGUGGAUUUCUACUUAAUUAGAAGUGUGAGAAAGUAGCUGGGAUCAACAUGUGUGGUUGUUGUCUUUUUUGAAUUAGUUGAGCGCAUUUUUGUCAUUUCAGGUGAUCCACCGCUUUCACAUACGUGGCUUCUAUGCCUUAUCAUUAUUCCGUUCAUCCACAGCUCCUGCAUAAACAAAUAGCAAUCUUCUCUCUGUUGUGGAAUGCUGAAGGGGAUUAUUAACGAUGGGACAGAAAGGAAAAUUAAGUGGUGAUAUUGGAGGGCUAAUCAAACUAAUUUACUUAGACAUGUCGUUUAAUCAAGGACUUACAGGUUCACUUUCUCCGAGGAUAGAGGAUCUGCAAAAACUAACAUAUAAAUCCUUACUAGUUGUAGCUUCAGUGGCAGUAUACCGAGGGAAUUGGGAAAACUUGUUGAGUUAUCAUUCUUGAAGCCGAGGAACAAUGCAUUUAAUGGCACAUUGAACAGGAAGCCGAGGAACAAUGCAUUUAAUGGCACAUUGAACACGGGUGGCAUUAGUGGAAGGCAAUUCACACUUGUUGAUUUACAGAACAAUGAGAUUUCCUCAAUAACACUAGGCUCUGGAUACAAAAACGCCUUGAUACUGAUCGAAAACCUUGUGUGUGACAAGGCCCUUGGGAACAGGAAUUAUUGUCAGCAUCAGCAGUAAUCUGCAAAGCCUUACUCUGCCAUCUUGGAGAAAUAUAUGUUUCCAAACACUCUCAUCAACAAUGACAAUUAAGGAAAAUUGGCACCAGCAGCUGAAAACAAUAAAUAAAAUUGCAAGUCAAUGCUAAACGUGGGUUGCGCAUUUAUCUAAAUAUAUCAGUUCCUCUCUUCUCGUUCUCUUUCUCUUUUGAAACUUAUUUAUAUUCCAGCUUUGGAUGGCAUUUUCAACUUUUUUUGGUUUUAUUGCUUCUUAUGGACACCGACACCAUCGUGUAAUUUUUUUAGAAUAUAAAACUAAACAUUUUGAAGGUUUCA